rnacentral:snRNA from 1 species
GGAGUGAGGGCGAUCUGGCCGCGACAUCUGUCACCCCAUUGAUCAUCAGGGUUGAUUCGGCUGAUCUGGCUGGUUAGGCGGGUGUCCCCUUCCUCCCUCACUGCUCCUUGUGUGUCCCUCCCGAAGCUGCGCGCUCGGUCGAAGAGGACAGGACUUCCCCGAGUAGAGACAGACCGGUCUUCGGUCUUCGGAUGAGGGUAUAGGCAUAGCUGCGCCCCCCUGCUAGAACCUCCAAACAAGCUCUCUUAAAUGUAGUUUAAUUUAUCUCUUCAGCAAACUAAAAACUUUCAAUGUACAUUGAGAUAAUAAUAUUGACUAUGUUGAAU